rnacentral:rRNA from 1 species
CAGUAUCCACGGGAAUACGGAGGGGGCUAGCGUUGUUCGGAAUUACUGGGCGUAAAGCGCACGUAGGCGGCUUGGUAAGUUAGAGGUGAAAGCCUGGAGCUCAACUCCAGAAUUGCCUUUAAGACUGCCGAGCUAGCAGGUGAGAGAGGUAAGUGGAAUUCCGAGUGUAGAGGUGAAAUUCGUAGAUAUUCGGAAGAACACCAGUGGCGAAGGCGGCUUACUGGCUCAUACUGGACGCUGAGGUGCGAAAGCGUGGGGAGCAAACAGGAUUAGAUACCCCCGUAGUCCCUGUCUCUUAUAC